GAAUCCUUGGAACCUAGGUGUGAGUGCUAUUUCGGUGCAACACACCUAUUCAAGGAUUCAAAGAGGCU
rnacentral:ncRNA from 2 species